UACGUAGGGUGCAAGCGUUGUCCGGAAUUAUUGGGCGUAAGGAGCUCGUAGGCGGUUCGUCGCGUCGGCUGUGAAAUCCCGAGGCUCAACCUCGGGUCUGCAGUCGAUACGGGCGGACUGGAGUUCGGCAGGGGAGACUGGAAUUCCUGGUGUAGCGGUGAAAUGCGCAGAUAUCAGGAGGAACACCGGUGGCGAAGGCGGGUCUCUGGGCCGAUACUGACGCUGAGGAGCGAAAGCGUGGGGAGCGAACAGG
rnacentral:rRNA from 1 species